CAGUAGCCGCGGGAAUACGAAGGGGGCUAGCGUUGCUCGGAAUGACUGGGCGUAAAGGGCGCGUAGGCGGCGGCCAAAGUCAGGCGUGAAAUUCCCGGGCUCAACCUGGGGGCUGCGUUUGAUACUUGGUUGCUUGAGUGGGGAAGAGGGUCGUGGAAUUCCCAGUGUAGAGGUGAAAUUCGUAGAUAUUGGGAAGAACACCGGUGGCGAAGGCGGCGACCUGGUCCUUUACUGACGCUGAGGCGCGAAAGCGUGGGGAGCAAACAGGAUUAGAUACCCCUGUAGUCCCUGUCUCUUAUAU
rnacentral:rRNA from 1 species